rnacentral:rRNA from 1 species
UACAGAGGGGGCAAGCGUGGUUCGGAAUUACUGGGCGUAAAGGGCGCGUAGGCGGCGUGCUAAGUCGAACGUGAAAUCCCCGGGCUCAACCCGGGAACUGCGUCCGAGACUGGCAUGCUCGAAUCCGGGAGAGGGAUGCGGAAUUCCAGGUGUAGCGGUGAAAUGCGUAGAUAUCUGGAGGAACAUCGGUGGCGAAGGCGGCAUCCUGGACCGGUAUUGACGCUGAGGCGCGCAAGCCAGGGGAGCAAACGGG